CCUAGCCGCUUCCUUAGACAGAGCAUCAUGAGACCCUCGCCAAAGUGCUGGCUCUAGUGUCAGACCACGUGGAUCUGCUGCUAGAAGACUGGUAUCCUUCCCUCGGAACUCGUUUCGUCCACACUUCAGAAGGCCGCUGCCUUAUAACGCGCAUAGUACCAUGUCCCGAGUGCCUGCGCCCGCAGCCGCAACCGCCGCCCGAACAUGACCCGCAAUUAGCUCAGGCAUUCAGAAGAUUAGAG